UACGUAGGGGGCUAGCGUUGUCCGGAAUCAUUGGGCGUAAAGCGCGUGUAGGCGGUCCGGUAAGUCCGCUGUGAAAGUCGGGGGCUCAACCCUCGGAUGCCGGUGGAUACUGUCGGGCUUGAGUACGGAAGAGGCGAGUGGAAUUCCUGGUGUAGCGGUGAAAUGCGCAGAUAUCAGGAGGAACACCAAUUGCGAAGGCAGCUCGCUGGGACGUUAAGCUGACGCUGAGACGCGAAAGCGUGGGGAGCAAACAGG
rnacentral:rRNA from 1 species